rnacentral:tRNA from 1 species
GCCUGGGUGACGAAAUUGGUAGACGCAGUUGAUUCAAAAUCAACCGCCUUCGGGUGUGCCGGUUCGAGUCCGGCCCUAGGCACCA